rnacentral:rRNA from 1 species
GGGGAAUAUUGCACAAUGGGGGAAACCCUGAUGCAGCGACGCCGCGUGAGUGAAGAAGUACUUCGGUAUGUAAAGCUCUAUCAGCAGGGAAGAAAAUGACGGUACCUGACUAAGAAGCCCCGGCUAACUACGUGCCAGCAGCCGCGGUAAUACGUAGGGGGCAAGCGUUAUCCGGAUUUACUGGGUGUAAAGGGAGCGUAGGUGGUAUGGUAAGUCAGAUGUGAAAACCCGGGGCUCAACCCCGUGACUGCAUUUGAAACUAUCAGACUAGAGUGCAGGAGAGGUAAGUGGAAUUCCUAGUGUAGCGGUGAAAUGCGUAGAUAUUAGGAGGAACACCAGUGGCGAAGGCGGCUUACUGGACUGUAACUGACACUGAGGCUCGAAAGCGUGGGGAGCAAAC